rnacentral:precursor_RNA from 1 species
CGGCGCUCCCCCCCGCGGGGGCGCUUCCCCGCCAGGGGGGGUGUCCCUCGCGGGGGCGCGCCGGGUU